GUGUAGCAUGAAAGGAGAGACGGUUAGCACUCCCCUAGACAAGGAUGGAUACACAAAUACGGCCGGGCUUCGCACACUCGGCCAAAUUUUUUU